UACGGGGGGAGCAAGCGUUGUUCGGAUUUACUGGGCGUAAAGGGCGCGUAGGCGGCGCGACAAGUCACUUGUGAAAUCUCCGGGCUUAACUCGGAGCGGCCAAGUGAUACUGUCGUGCUAGAGUGCGGAAGGGGCAACUGGAAUUCUCGGUGUAGCGGUGAAAUGCGUAGAUAUCGAGAGGAACACCUGCGGCGAAGGCGGGUUGCUGGGACGGUACUGACGCUGAGACGCGAAAGCGUGGGGAGCGAACAGG
rnacentral:rRNA from 1 species